UACGUAGGGGGCAAGCGUUGUCCGGAUUUAUUGGGCGUAAAGAGCGUGUAGGCGGCUUUACAGGUCCGUUGUGAAAACUCGAGGCUCAACCUCGAGACGCCGGUGGAAACCGUAAGGCUAGAGUCCGGAAGAGGAGAGUGGAAAUUCCUGGUGGUAGCGGUGAAAUGCGCAGAGUAUCAGGAGGAACACCCGUGGCGAAAGCGG
rnacentral:rRNA from 1 species